AACGCAUCUUGCACUCCUUGGUAUUCUGAGGAGUAUGCCUGUUUGAGUAUCAUUAAACUAUCAACUGUGCCAACUUUUAUAUUGGAUCACAGAUUGGACAAUGGGAGGUAUUAUAUUUGCAGGCUUUACAAAGUCAGCUCUCCUGAAAUGCAUUAGCAGUUCCUGUAUUGGUUAUUGGUUCUUGGGUGUGUGAUAAUAUUUCUUAUACCCUUUGAUCGAAUGUAUCUGCUUCCAAUGAUUGACUUGAAUUGAUCUUGAUCUCAAAUCAGGUAGGAUUACCCGCUGAACUUAA
rnacentral:misc_RNA from 1 species